AGCAGCCGCGGUAAUUCCAGCUCCAAUAGCGUAUAUUAAAGUUGUUGCAGUUAAAAAGCUCGUAGUUGAAUUUCGGGGUCAGUAGGUCGGUCGUGCCACUGGUAUGAACUGGUUUUACUGAUUCCUCCCUCUUGAAGAACUGUAAUGCCAUUAAUUUGGUGUUGCAGGGAAUCAGGGCUGUUACUUUGAAAAAAUUAGAGUGUUUAAAGCAGGCUUUAGCUUGAAUACAUUAGCAUGGAAUAAUGAAAUAGGACGUUUGAUCCUAUUUUGUUGGUUUCUAGGAUUGACGUAAUGAUUAAUAGGGAUAGUUGGGGGCAUUAGUAUUCAGUUGUCAGAGGUGAAAUUCUUGGAUUUAUUGAAGACUAACUACUGCGAAAGCAUUUGCCAAGGAUGUUUUCAUUAAUCAAGAACGAAAGUUAGGGGAUCGAAGACGAUCAGAUACCGUCGUAGUCUUAACCAUAAACUAUGCCCGACUAGGGAUCGGAUGAUGUUAAUUUUUUAAUGACUCA
rnacentral:rRNA from 1 species